UACGUAGGGGGCUAGCGUUGUCCGGAAUCAUUGGGCGUAAAGAGCGUGUAGGCGGUCCGGUAAGUCCGCCGUGAAAGUCGGGGGCUCAACCCUCGAAUGCCGGUGGAUACUGUCGGGCUAGAGUGCGGAAGAGGCGAGUGGAAUUCCUGGUGUAGCGGUGAAAUGCGCAGAUAUCAGGAGGAACACCUAUUGCGAAGGCAGCUCGCUGGGACGUAACUGACGCUGAGACGCGAAAGCGUGGGGAGCAAACAGG
rnacentral:rRNA from 1 species